rnacentral:rRNA from 1 species
CUAAGGAUAGGUCGGCGACUGAUUAGGCAGUUGGCGAGGUAAAGGCUCACCAAACCUUCGAUCAGUAGGGGUCUUGAGAGAGAUAGCCCCGAGAAGGACACUGAGACACUGGUCCUAGCCCUAAGGGGUGCAGCAGGUGCGAAAACUUUACAAUGCACGAAAGUGUGAUAAGGGAAUUCCAAGUGCUUUAUCUUAUGAUAAGGCUUUUAUUAAGUGUAAAAAUCUUAAUGAAUAAGUGGUGGGUAAUACUGGUGCAAGCCGCCGCGGUAACACCAGAGCCACAAGUGGUGACCAUGUUUAUUGGGCCUAAAGCGUUCGUAGCCGGUUUAAUAAAUCUUCUGUGAAAUUGUUGAGCUUAACUUAACAACCUGCAGAAGACACUGUUAGACUUGAAACCAGUAAGAGACAAAAGUAUUCUUAGGGGAGCGGUAAAAUGUUAUAAUCCUAAGAGGACUACCUAUGGCGAAGGCAUUUGUCUAGGAUGGGUUUGACGGUGAGGAACGAAAGCUGGGAGAACGAUCCGGAUUAGAUACCCGAGUAGCCCCAGCCGUAAACGCUGUGGACUAAGUAUUAUGUGUUCUUAGUGAACAUGUAGUGCUGAAGCGAAGGCAUUAAGUUCACCGCCUGGGAAGUACGGCCGCAAGACUGAAACUUAAAGGAAUUGGCGGGGGAGCACUACAAGGGGUGCGGCGUGCGGUUCAAUUGGAUUUUACACCGGGAAACUUACCAGGAGCGACGGCAGAAUGAAGGUCAGAUUAAAGGUUUUACCUGACAAGCCGAGAGAUGGUGCAUGGCCGCCGUCAGCUCGUGCUGUGAAGUGUCCAGUUAAGUCUGGCAACGAGCAAGACCUAUACCUAUAGUUGCGAAUAUAGUCUCCGGAUUAUAAGCACACUAUAGGGACUGCCUUGGUAACAAGGAGGAAGGUGUAGGCAACGGUAGGUCUGUAUGCCUCGAAUCUCCUGGGCUACACGCGCGUAACAAUGGUAAGGACAAUGGGAUACGACUCCGAAAGGAGAAGUCAAACCUUCAAACCUUAUCUUAGUUCGGAUUGAGGUUUGUAACUCAACCUCAUGACGAUGGAAUCCCUAGUAAUCAGAAUUCAUUAUAUUCUGGUGAAUAUGUCCCUGCUCCUUGCACACACUGCCCGUCAAACCACUCGAGCAGAGUUUAGGUAAGGUUUAAUUUUUUGAUUAAAUCGAAUCUAUGCUCAGUAAGAAGGGUUAAGUCGUCACAAGGUAGCUGUAGGGGAACCUGCAGCUG